CCUGUACGACCCAUUAGGGUUCCUAGCUCCCUUUAUUCUUGAAGGAAAGAAAGUGUUACAAGAAAUGUGUCAAAAGGGUGUUGGUUGGGAUGAUCCUCUUCCUGUUGAGCUAAAGAUAAGGUGGGAGGGUUGGAUGAAUGAUUUGGAAAAUCUUAAGUUAAUUCAGAUUCCCCGAUGUUUUAAACCUGCUAACUUUGGUGAAGUGCAGAGUGUAGAGCUUCAUCACUUUUCUGAUGCGAGUAGUCAAGGAUACGGUCAGUGCUCUUACAUCAGAUUAGUGGGUGAUCACAAAGUACACUGCACACUAGUCAUGGGUAAAGCAAGAGUGGCACCUACCAAAAUAGUCACCAUCCCAAGACUAGAGCUGACAGCUGCAGUAACCUCAGCUGCUGUUGGGUGCAUGUUGAAAAGAGAGUUAGAUCUUAAAGUUGAUAAAGAGUACUUUUGGGCAGAUUCAAAAGUAGUGCUGGGUUAUAUUAAUAAUGACGCAAAAAGAUUUCAUGUUUUUGUGGCUAAUCGCGUCCAAAGAAUUCAUGAAACCAGUAACUCAGAGCAAUGGUACUACAUAGGCACAAACGAAAAUCCAGCCGACCACGCCUCAAGAGGCCUGAAAGUCAGAGACCUUAUCACCUCAAAUUGGUUCACGGGUCCCAAGUUCUUAUGGAACAAGGAGAUAGUCACGGAGCAAAGCACACCUGAGCUUAUGGUGGGAGAUCCAGAAAUCAAAACAAUACAAGUGUUGCAAACCACUGCUACGCAACAGUUCCAUAUUAAAGAGUUCUUGUCAAGAUUCUCAAAAUGGACUACUGCAAUAAACGUCAUUGCUCGCAUCCAACGAAUGGCUAAAAAGAUAAAAACAGCAGACCCUCCAAAUGUAGAGGAAAGACAACAAGCAAUGCUAACUCUUGUGAAGCUUGCACAACAAGAUGCCUUUCAGAAAGACUUUAACAAACUCAAUCAAUCACAAAAGCUGUCCCGCAACCACAGACUCUAUGAACUUGACCC
rnacentral:lncRNA from 1 species